ACCUGGCCUCUUCCUGGGGCCUGGAGCCCUGGUUGCCAUCAGCCAUGGCUCCCAAAAAGAGUGUGAGCAAGGCAGGCAAGGAGCUUGAAGUCAAGAAGAAAGGGGGCAAGAAGGAGCCGGUGGUGGCCGUGGAGCCGCCUCUGGCCAAGGAGAUGAAGGAGUUCUACCACAUCCAGAUCCGAGACCUGGAGGACCGGCUAGCCCGGUACCAGCGGAAGUGGGAUGAGCUGGCUGUGCAGGAGAAGAUGUUCCGCCAGGAGUUUGAGCAGCUGGCCAAUAACAAGAAGGAGAUUGUGGCCUUCCUCAAGCGCACGCUCAACCAGCAGGUGGAUGAGAUCACAGACCUCAACGAGCAGCUCCAGAACUUGCAGCUAGCCAAAGAGAUGGAGAAGGAUGCCUUCGAGGCGCAGCUGGCCCAGGUGCGCCACGAGUUCCAGGAGACCAAGGACCAGCUCACCACGGAGAACAUCAUCCUUGGGGGGAAGCUGGCAGCCCUGGAGGAGUUCCGGCUGCAGAAAGAGGAGGUCACGGACAAGUUCACAUUGCUGGAGGAGCAGGUGCGGAAGCAGGAGAAUGAGUUCAGGGACUAUGCAUACAACCUGGAGAAGAAGUCGGUGCUGGACAAGGACAGACUGAGGAAAGAGAUCAUCCAGCGCGUGAACCUCGUGGCCAAUGAGUUCCACAAGGUGACCACGAACCGGAUGUGGGAGACAACCAAGCGGGCCAUCAAAGAGAACAACGGCAUUACCCUGCAGAUGGCCAGGGUCUCCCAGCAAGGCAUGAAGCUGCUGCAGGAGAAUGAGCAGCUCAAGGGAAGACAGAACAAUCUGUGCAAACAGCUGGAGCUGCUGGAGAACACCCAGAAGGUCAUGGCCAGGCACAAAAGAGGCCACCAGAAGAUCAUCCUCAUGCUGACUAAGAAGUGCCAGGAGCAGCAGCAGGACACCAAGGAGGCCGAGGAGCUGCGCCUCCUGCUGAGCCAGUUGGAGCAGAGAUCCCUGCAGCUGCAGGUGGAUAACCAGGCACUGAAGAGCCAGAGAGACCAGCUGAGCCUGCAGCUGGAGCAGCAGCAGGUGGAUUUGCAGCGGCUACAGCAGGAACUGGCUAAUGAGCAGAAGGUUCGGGCCAGCCUGGAGGCGGCUCUGGUCCAGGCCACCUCCUUCCUACAGAACAUUCUGCAGACAGGGAAAACUUCGUGGAAAUGGGCACUGAGGUUGGAAUUUCCUGGACGAGGGUGGGUACUGGGGCCACUGUGGGCCUGCUGCCACCCCACCCUCACCAACAGAUGCACCGCGAUGAAGAGGACAGUGACGUUGACGUGACGUUCCAGCCAUGGCACAAGGAGAUGCUGCAGCAACUGCUGGUCAUGCUCAGCUCCACUGUGGCCACGAGACCUCAGAAGGCUGCGUGUCCCCACCAGGAGUCACAGUCCCAUGGCCCACCCAAGGAGAGCCGGCCCAGCAUCCAGCUGCCCAGGACUGGGUCUCUGCUGCCGCAGCUCUCUGACAUCACCCCCUACCAGCCGGGGGAUCUAGGCCUGGUACCUCGCCAGGUCCACAUCCCACCCAACCCCCAGGACCUCAGGCUGCUGUCAUAUAUCACCCGUGUGGGGACCUUCCGGGCACACAGCAGCCCUGAGAUGCGUGCCCCUGGUUCUCUAAAAAGGCUUGAAAAGUUUAGUCUUCCUGAAGUUCCCCUACGUCCCAAGUAGGACACAGAGAGAAGAACCUACUCCAGAAAUGGACUGGUCCAGUCACAGUCACCCCCACUUUAAUCCGCAGGCAGCCUGGAACAGUCUAGAGGAGAUUUGUAUAAAAAGUAGAUACCAAGGCUGGCGUGGCAGCUCUGUGGCAGUGGCUGGGUUGGUGGGCACUACAGUCAGGCAGGCAGCCAUGGCCACUAGUGUCACGGCCCCAGUGAGGGCCCCUGGCUUCGCUCACGGAUGUGGUCCAAGAUCAGGUCGGUGGCUCGAUCCAGCAACAGAGGCAGCAGCUCCUGCUCAGCAGGGGAGAAGCAGCCCAGCACAUGGGCCUGAACCGCCUCAGGGUGCGCCGGGCGCCCGAUACCCACCCGCAGCCUUGGCAUUGCCUGUGGGAGAGCCAGAGAGGCCCAGGAAGCUUUGGCGAGGUGCUGGGGGACCCCUGGCCCACCCGACCCAGUUGCACAACAAAAGGGUAGACUCACAUUGGAGUUGAGGCAGCUAAUGCAGGAACGGACUCCAUUGUGGCCCCUUCAAGGGAUAUGGGAGGGGCAGUUAGUGCCUCCCUGGGGCAGUGUCCUUCCACCCCUCCCUGCCCCGGCUGGGUCAGAGCAGCCCAUUUCCUGUGGAGACUGGGUCAGCAGCCCUACUCCACCCCAACUGGGAGGCCUGAAGCCCUAUCCCAACCCUGACCAUCUCAGGACCUCACCUGGCACUGCCCCCCAGCUUCAGAGCCAGUCUCCCCAGGGGCUUGUCCAGCUCAUCAUGCACCAGGUAGACUUCCUCGGCAGUCAGCCCAAACAGCUCCGCUUAGCACAGGGAAACGGCAGCCCUGGUUACUGCCCAUCUGCCCAGAGAGGCACUGUCCCGACUCCCAUGAUGAGGGACCACAACUAAUCCCACUUCACAUAUAAAGAAACUGAGGCCCCCCGAAGUACCCAAAGCCAUGCAGCAACUGGAGCUCAACAGGUACUUGGAGGUGAACCCGCGGAUCUGUCACAGCCAGUGCUCCCCUCUGGCCCCCGCGCCCCAACCCCCACCCCCUUGGCCCGCCCGCCCACCCCUGGCGCUCUCAACUCACCAGCCCGGGCCACGCUGCGCCCGUUGGCGUUCAUAAGCCGCCGUGGCCGGAGCAGGACCAGUUGGGCAUCCCCCAGCGGGGCCAGGGCGAGGUCGGCGGCACAGUGCCGGUCGCGCGUCCAACUCUCCGCCACACCCAGCCGCCGCGCCAGCUGCCCCAGCACCGCCAUGCCCACGCUGUGUCGCGUGCCGGGCAGUCCGGGAUUCCCCAGGCCAGCCACCUGCGGGCGGCACCAGGGAAACUGAGGCCCAACAACUCUCGCCACCCCCGAUCUCACAGCGUCCCGUGGGCCCCAACGCAGAGGAGCGGAAACGCAGAGCAACGCUGCAGUGGGGAAGGGGCGCGAAGAAGGGGCCCAGAAACCCGACCCCUGAGAACUCCAGAAGGCUGGGCAGGCAGGGCGCCCUAGUGCAGGAACGGAGCUUCAAGAAGUUUGGAGCCCGUCGAGCACUGAACUCACCAGUUAAGAAAACAGAGCAGCAAUUUGGGGGCACUCGGCUCCCGGGACAUAAUGGCCGAACUGAAGCUAGGGACCGGGAGCCCCUACGUCGCCGCCCCACGCCACUCACCAUCCACCGCUUCCCCGGGGGGCGAGGCUCCAAAACACAUCGGCUCAUGGCUCUACUCAGCCGCUGUCCGGCGCCCAAAAAGCCGCCCGGCCUCAUGCUGCCCCCAUUCACUCCGACACCGCCCCCUGACGUCAUCACCCCGCAGCAGCCAAUCGUGUUGCCAACUGUUUGGCGUCCACCGCCAACGUCCAAUCCGGGCCGGGCUACGUGGCCGCCAUGCUUCUGAGGGGCGGAAGCGGCGAGGCGGUGGCCGAGUCCGGGAACCCAGGCGCCUUCAGUAGCGCGGCGUCACAGUGUCCCUUCGGGACUUGUGUGGGACGCUCGGAGCUCUUGCUUGACCUUCGGUUGGGAGGCCUUGUUAUGCCCCCCGCUAUGGCCCUGACUUGCGGCGAAAAUCUGGCAAGUCCUUUCCCCGCUGUAGGCCUCAACCUCUCCAGCUAAUAAAAGUUUUCUACCUCC